rnacentral:rRNA from 1 species
GACUGAACGCUGGCGGCGCGCUUAACACAUGCAAGUCGAGCGAGAACCAGGACUUCGGUCCUGGGGACAGCGGCGAACGGGUGAGUAACACGUGGGUAAUCUGCCCUCGAUUCUGGGAUAGCCCGGGGAAACUCGGAUUAAUACCGGAUAGCCUUUCAAGCUUUCGGGCGUGAAAGAAAAGGUAGCUUCGGCCUCCGAUCGAGGAUGAGCCCGCGGUGGAUUAGCUUGUUGGCGGGGUAAUGGCCCACCAAGGCGACGAUCCAUAGCUGGUCUGAGAGGACGAUCAGCCACACUGGGACUGAGACACGGCCCAGACUCCUACGGGAGGCAGCAGUGGGGAAUCUUGCGCAAUGGGCGAAAGCCUGACGCAGCGACGCCGCGUGGGGGAAGAAGGCCUUAGGGUUGUAAACCUCUUUCAGGUGGGACGAAGCCACUCGGGUUAAUAGCCCAGAGGGUGACGGUACCGCCAGAAGAAGCCCCGGCUAACUACGUGC